rnacentral:tRNA from 1 species
GCCUGGGUGGCUCUGUCAGUUAAGCAUCUGACUUUGGCUCAGAUCAUGAUCUUGUGGUUCGUGAGUUCGAGCCCCACGUCGGGCU